rnacentral:lncRNA from 1 species
AUGGCUAACAGGAAAAGAACUAGCACAGAUAACCAAGUUUUCAUGCUAACUUGUUAAGGUUAAAACAACCAUAAUACACUUCACAUUAUGACAAACUACAUGUUGUACAUUAGUUCAUACAUAUUUCGUGACAGUUUGGUCGUAAUUAUAUCAAAAGAAAGUGACAUUAACUGGGAAAAGGAGCGGGAGAAGCAUUUUCAACCUACCAUUAAUUUCAUCAGCAUGAAACAGUCGGGGGAAAUGGUGUGCACAAAUAAUACAGCAGCUAGGGUGCAAUACCGUCAUCCAACCACACGAUUUCUGUCAAGUACCUCUGAAUGAAAGCUGUCAAUAUGAAUAAUUGAAACUAUAAGACAUAUUCAAACAUGAACUCAGUAACAUGUAUUCAAAGCUUAUGAAACAAAUUUUGGCGAACUUAAAACAGGAUAUAUUUUCUUUUUCUGUUACACGUACAAGGUGGGAGGCCAUAUAAAACACCAUGGAGUCUUCAGGAGGACCAUUCAUUCCCUCAACCCUUUUGACAACCAUCUACAUAUGAAAUGCUCUGGAGAGCCCUGACUUUGGCAACCCAAUUCUCUUUCGACCUAGUCGGGCACAAUUGCAACACUUCACAAGUUUAUCAUAUCAAAAUUAUCUUAUUUUCCACAACUUCCACAUAUCGACUUCUCCUACACAUACUUGACACAUGUCCAAAAGCCAUACAGUGAAUACAAUGCAUCGGUGCAUGGCACGAACGGUCUGUCAUGGUGAUUCACAUUACCCAAAUGCACCUGGUAGAGAGGGACUCCGUACAACAAAAGGGACUCCGUAAAACAAAAAAAAUAACAGACUCUUUACUUUCACUCCUUUCUCAACACGAUUCAUCCGACGUGCAUCAACCACUCCAGGGAUACUCUUCAUUUGUGCAACAACGACUUCCCACGAGAUGCCAUUUAUUACCCCCGUUACAGGUGCCCUACACUACAGCAACGCACGACAUGGCAUAUUUCUAGAAUCGGAUGUGCUCUUUCUGUUCCUCCGACUAACAACAGAAAUAAAAAAGGCCACUUCUCGUGGUCCUUGCAGCUUUGACUUUACCCGCCACUUCUUCCACCAGGUUGGGAUAUCAAAAUGGUUCCUCAGCCUCCCGGGUGGCACAGUGGGUCUAAGGCACUGCAUCGAAGUGCUAGCUGUGCCACCAGAGACUCUGGGUUCGAGCCCAGGCUCUGUCGCAGCCGGCCGCGACCGGGAGGUCCAUGGGGCGACGCGUAAUUGUCCUGGCGUCGUCCGGGUUAGGGAAGGCUUGGCAGGUAGGGUUAUAAUUGUCUCAUCGUGCACUAGCUACUCCUGUGGCGGGCAGGCGCAGUGCACGCUGACCAGGUCGCUAGGUGCACGGUGUUUCCUCUGACACAUUGGUGGCCGGGUUGGAUGCGCGCUGUGUUAAGAAGCAGUGCAGCUUCGUUGGGUUGUGUUUCGGAGGACG